AGGCCCAGGCAAGAGGGAACACAAGGAAAGUCAGAGCUGGGUUUCUGGCCCGUUGACUCUGUCUCAGGUACACAGAAGGGGACUAAAAAUACUCCCAUCUGCUGCUCCCAGUCAAGAGACCCCCAUCCCCAGAGGGGGGCUGGAAGGCAGAGGCGG